GACGAACGCUGGCGGCGUGCCUAAUACAUGCAAGUCGAGCGGACUGAUUAAGAGCUUGCUCUUAUGACGUUAGCGGCGGACGGGUGAGUAACACGUGGGCAACCUGCCCUGUAGAUCGGGAUAACACCGAGACAUCGGUUCUAAUACCGGGGAAUAUCUGAGAUCACAUGAUCUUAUGUUAAAAGAUGGCUCCGGCUAUCACUACAGGAUGGGCCCGCGUCGCAUUAGCUAGUGGGUAAGGUCAUGGCUUACCAAGGCGACGAUGCGUAGCCGACCUGGGAGGGAGAUGUGCCACGCUGGGACGGAGAAACGGCCCAGACGCCAACGGGAGGCAGCAGUAGGGAAUCUUGCGGAAAGGACGAAAGUAUGACGGAGCAACGCCGCGUGAGUGAUGAAGGGUUUCGGCUCGUAAAGCUCUGUUGUUAGGGAAGAAACAGUACCGAACGAACUAGGUCGGUACCUUGACGGUACCUAACCAGAAAGCAACGGCUAACUACGUG
rnacentral:rRNA from 1 species